rnacentral:rRNA from 1 species
GACGAACGCUGGCGGCGUGCUUAACACAUGCAAGUCGAACGGUAAGGCCCUUCGGGGUACACGAGUGGCGAACGGGUGAGUAACACGUGGGUGAUCUGCCCUGCACUUCGGGAUAAGCCUGGGAAACUGGGUCUAAUACCGGAUAGGACCACUGCCUGCAUGGGUGGUGGUGGAAAGCUUUUGCGGUGUGGGAUGGGCCCGCGGCCUAUCAGCUUGUUGGUGGGGUGAUGGCCUACCAAGGCGACGACGGGUAGCCGGCCUGAGAGGGUGACCGGCCACACUGGGACUGAGAUACGGCCCAGACUCCUACGGGAGGCAGCAGUGGGGAAUAUUGCACAAUGGGCGGAAGUCUGAUGCAGCGACGCCGCGUGAGGGAUGACGGCCUUCGGGUUGUAAACCUCUUUCAGCACCGACGAAGCGCAAGUGACGGUAGGUGCAGAAGAAGGACCGGCCAACUACGUGCCAGCAGCCGCCGUAA